UGACAGCCGUGAAGAUUACUGUCUAUAUCUGUCACUUCUACUACAACCACACCUCACAUCAAUAAAACCUGGAGUUGGUCUGGAAUAUGUCAUCAAUUUUCUGUCCCACGCUGACAUAGAAAGUAUAAGAUUUAGCCAACACUGACACAGACAAAACAUUAGUGCGUGACAGCUGCAUGGCUCAAUAUUCAUUUGACGGGAAACUACCGUUGUUUACACAGUUUGAUACUCUGCAGUGAUGGAGAAAAACCCUUGGAUAUUUUCGUUGAUAUUAUAAGGUUUAGAUACUGCAUUUUGUCAUCCCUUGAAAGUGACAUCACCACCAGCCUUUCACGGGGAUUAACUUUACGUGGUGUCCCUGUGCCUCUGACUUUUCCAUGUGGGGAAGUACCAUUGGAUUGUACCUGUAUUUGCAUAUCGGAGGCUGAGAGACAUUCUUGAAGGCCAGCUCACUGAGAUUGUUCUCAGAACCAGCAGGAUAUUGACAUCUUCCAAACAGGAUUAGACAAAGCAGUUUGUAGGUUAUGAACAUGACAACACAGGAAGAUUAAGUGCAAAUCUGGUUUUGCACGUGGUAGCUAAAGAGACGAUCGGAUAACUCAAGAGUUAACAUCAAUCUGGACCUGGAAACUAAGG